rnacentral:rRNA from 1 species
CUACGGGCAAANGGCAGCAAGUUCGNGAGGACAAGCAAAUCCCAUAAACCGUGGCUCAGUUCAGAUCGUAGGCUGCAACUCGCCUACGUGAAGGAGGAAUCGCUAGUAAUCGCAGGUCAGCAUACUGCGGUGAAUACGUUCCCGGGCCUUGUACACACCGCCCGUCACACCAUGGAAGUUGGCCACGCCCGAAGCCGUUACUCCAACCCUCGGGAGGAGGACGUCGAAGGUGGGGCUGAUGACUGGGGUGAAGUCGUAACAAGGUAUCCGUACCGGAAGGUGCGGAUGGAUCACCUCCUAA